rnacentral:rRNA from 1 species
CCGCGGCCGCCGAAGACACCCUCGAACUCUGUCUGAAGAUUGUAGUCUGAGUGAAAAUAUAAAUUAUUUAAAACUUUCAACAACGGAUCUCUUGGUUCCGGCAUCGAUGAAGAACGCAGCGAAAUGCGAUACGUAAUGUGAAUUGCAAAUUCAGUGAAUCAUCGAGUCUUUGAACGCACAUUGCGCCCCCUGGUAUUCCGGGGGGCAUGCCUGUCCGAGCGUCAUUGCUGCCCUCAAGCACGGCUUGUGUGUUGGGCCCCGUCCUCCGAUCCCGGGGGACGGGCCCGAAAGGCAGCGGCGGCACCGCGUCCGGUCCUCGAGCGUAUGGGGCUUUGUCACCCGCUCUGUAGGCCCGGCCGGCGCUUGCCGAUCAACCCAAAUUUUUAUCCAGGUUGACCUCGGAUCAGGUAGGGAUACCCGCUGAACUUAAGCAUAUCAAUA